AAGAGACGGAAACAGCUACGGGAGAAGCGCCAUGUGAAUGUCACUUGAAAUCAACGAAGACGAAGUUAAGAUGUCUAAUGAUUCUUUUGGUGCAAACUCAACGACAAGAAACUCAAUGUUUUGGAUCGCGUGGAUUCAUGGCGGAUCCCACAGGACAAUGAAAGUCUUCAGAGAAUUCAGGUAUAUUGGAGAAAGAUCCCGUUAUGCGAAAUUGGCCAGGACUGUGUACACUAGUAAAGAGAAGAUUUU